rnacentral:rRNA from 1 species
AGAGUUUGAUCAUGGCUCAGAUUGAACGCUAGCGGGAUGCCUUACACAUGCAAGUCGAACGGCAGCGGGAAAGUAGCUUGCUACUUUUGCCGGCGAGUGGCGAACGGGUGAGUAAUGUAUCGGAACGUGCCCAGUAGCGGGGGAUAACUACGCGAAAGCGUGGCUAAUACCGCAUACGCCCUACGGGGGAAAGGGGGGGAUCUUAGGACCUCUCACUAUUGGAGCGGCCGAUAUCGGAUUAGCUAGUUGGUGGGGUAAAGGCCUACCAAGGCGACGAUCCGUAGCUGGUUUGAGAGGACGACCAGCCACACUGGGACUGAGACACGGCCCAGACUCCUACGGGAGGCAGCAGUGGGGAAUUUUGGACAAUGGGGGAAACCCUGAUCCAGCCAUCCCGCGUGUGCGAUGAAGGCCUUCGGGUUGUAAAGCACUUUUGUCAGGGAAGAAAAGGUUUCGGUUAAUACCUGGAACUGAUGACGGUACCUGAAGAAUAAGCACCGGCUAACUACGUGCCAGCAGCCGCGGUAAUUC